rnacentral:lncRNA from 1 species
CUUAUCCACUCUGGGCAUGAGAAGAGAGGAGGCGUGGCUUCUUUGUGCAUGGAGAGUUUACAUGAGAAACUCUUUCUCGUGUAAAGCAAGGGGCGCACAAGAUAAGGUGGGUGGUGCAUGGAUUAGUUGGUUGCCCAUUCAAAUUCAAACAUCCUUUGAAUUUGAAUGGCCAACUAACUUAUUUUUAUCCAGAUAAUUAGUGCACAAGGGUGGGCAUGGGAUGCCUUCUGUGUGGGAGAAAAUUCAUGAGAAGUUGCUUCUCAUGAAUUCAAAUGG